AGCUUUUGAACUUCUGGUCAACAAUCACUUACAUGGUAUGGACCUACAGAACUGAAAUAUUCUUCUAAAAAUCUUUUUUUAUUCAUUUGUGUUCAGCAGAAGAAAGAAAGUCAUUCAUAUCUGGGAUGGCAUGAGGAAAUAAGAUCGCAGCAAACUAACCGGUGGUAAAGCGUGGUUUGGCCGGAGGUUCCUGCACUACGAUGGGAAAUGUGGCUGAUGCUGGAGAGGAUUGUGCUCUGGACAGGGGUCGAUGGCCUGGGAAAGUCACUGACAGCCCGGCUGCUUCCAUUGACGCCUGAUAGUUCCUCAGCUGAUGUAUCCUCUGUUGCUCCAACAGGAGAGCUUGCUGCUCAAGGAGUGUCUCUCCCAUCCUCACCUGUCUGAAGAGCAGCUCUUCCUCUGCCUGUCUCUCUCUCAGUUGGAGCUCUUCAUCCUGUUCAUCUGGAGGUUCCUGUUUGAUGGUGACCCCAUGAGGAAGACCCUCUGCGG